rnacentral:rRNA from 1 species
AUUGAACGCUGGCGGCAGGCUUAACACAUGCAAGUCGAGCGAGCGGCGGACGGGUGAGUAAUGUCUGGGAACCUGCCUGAUGGAGGGGGAUAACUACUGGAAACGGUAGCUAAUACCGCAUACCAUCAGAUGUGCCCAGAUGGGAUUAGCUAGUAGGUUGGGUAAUGGCUCACCUAGGCGACGAUCCCUAGCUGGUCUGAGAGGAUGACCAGGAACCAUGGAACUGAGACACGGUCAAGACUCCUACGGGAGGCAGCAGUGGGGAAGAUUGAACAAUGGGCGCAAGCCUGAUGCAGCAAUGCCGAGUGAGUGAAGAAGGCCUUCGGGUUGUAAAGCAUUUUCAGCGAGGAGGCGUUACUCGCAGAAGAAGCAACGGCUAACUCCGUGCCAGCCGCCGCGGUAAUAC